rnacentral:rRNA from 1 species
UUGACGGGGCCCGCACAAGCGGUGGAGCAUGUGGUUUUAAUUCGACGAUACGCGAAGAACCUUACCCGGGUUUGACAUUGUAUCGAAGCAUCCAGAGAUGGAUGUGUCUCUUCGGAGACGGUAUGACAGGUGCUGCAUGGCUGUCGUCAGCUCGUGCCGUGAGAUGUUGGGUUAAGUCCCGCAACGAGCGCAACCCUCGCCCUUAGUUGCCAGCAUUUAGUUGGGCACUCUAAGGGGACUGCCGGUGAUAAGCCGAGAGGAAGGUGGGGAUGACGUCAAGUCCUCAUGGCCCUUACGGGCUGGGCUACACACGUGCUACAAUGGUGGUGACAGUGGGCAGCGAGCACGCGAGUGUGAGCUAAUCUCCAAAAGCCAUCUCAGUUCGGAUUGCACUCUGCAACUCGAGUGCAUGAAGCUGGAAUCGCUAGUAAUCGCGGAUCAGCAUGCCGCGGUGAAUACGUUCCCGGGCCUU